rnacentral:rRNA from 1 species
GUCUUUUUGAGUUAUUUUAAAAGUCUGACCUGCCCACUGAAUUAUUUUAAAUGGCCGCAGUAUUCUAACUGUGCAAAGGUAGCAUAAUCAUUAGUCUUUUAAUUGAAGGCUGGUAUGAAUGGUUGGACGAAGUAUAAGCUGUUUCAUAUAAAAUUUAAUUAGAAUUUUAUUUUUUAGUAAAAAAGCUAAAAUUUUAUUAAAAGACGAGAAGACCCUAUAAAUCUUUAUAUUAUAUUAUAUUUAAAUUUUUUUGAUUUAUUUUAUUUUUAUAAAAUAUAGUAUUUUGUUGGGGUGAUAUUAAAAUUUAAUGAACUUUUAAUUAUUUUUAAAUCAUUAAUUUAUGAUUUAUUGAUCCAUUAUUAGUGAUUAUAAGAUUAAGUUACUUUAGGGAUAACAGCGUAAUUUUUUUUGAGAGUUCAUAUCGACAAAAAAGUUUGCGACCUCGAUGUUGGAUUAAGAUAUAUUUUUAGGUGUAGCCGCUUAAAUAUUAAGUCUGUUCGACUUUUAAAUUCUUACAU